GCUGAACUAUUUACUUCCCUGCGACAGCCGGGAUCCAAAUCAUCCUCCAAAGUGAGCGUGAUCGGUACUCCCCAAGCAGCCGGGCAGAGGGACUUAGGAAGAAAGACAUCAGGAAUUCUGAGGGUUAAACCUCAGGAUCUGCACCCUAAUGAUAAAGCCUCCUACAGAGAAAAAAACCUGGAUGGAGAUUUUCCAAGAAAACGCUUGUCCAGGAGCCCUGAGACUGACGAGGUGGGCAACAGAUGAGAGUGGGCGUGUCCUUCCUCUGUGCACCUGUGCUCUGCCUCCCUAAGCAAAGGAAUUCCCGCUGCACCUCCCAGACCUGCAGCUGUCUCCUCACCAGAGCUAGCAGCAUGAAACUGUGCUUUCAAUGUGGUCCUACCAAGCAGAGUGUGGAUGGGAUGACUUUGCUGAGCUCUCUCUUUUUGGCUCCAGUCACUGUUUCAGAGCAGUUGGAGCAACUCCUGCAAAAAAGGGCCAAUGGACCAAUCCA